GCUGGGCGCAGUGGGGCAUGCCUAUAGUCCCAGCUAUUCGGGAGGCUGAGGCUAGAGGAUCUCUUGAGUCCAGGAGUUCUGGGCUGUAGUGCGGGAUGCCGAUCGGGUGACUUUACUAAGUUCAGCAUCAAUAUGGUGACCUCCCAGGAGGGGGAGAUCACCAGGUUGCCUAAGGAGGGGUGAACUGGCCCAGGUUGGAAAUGGAGCAGGUCAAAACUCCCAUGCUGAUCAGUAGUGGGAUCGCACCUAUGAAUAGCCAUUGCACUCCAGCCGGGGCAACAUAGUGAGACCCCCAU
ensembl:misc_RNA Metazoa_SRP Metazoan signal recognition particle RNA